AAGUCAGACGUGAAAGCCUUCUGUUCAACGGAAGAAUUGCAUCUGAAACUACAAACCUUGAGUGUAGGAGGGGAGAAUGGAACUUCUGGUGGAGCGGUGAAAUGCGUAGAUAUCAGAAGGAACGCCGGCGGCGAAAGCGACUCUCUGGCCUAUUACUGACACUCAGUGUGCGAAAGCUAGGGGAGCAAACGGGAUUAGAUACCCCGGUGGUCCUAGCCGUAAACGAU
rnacentral:rRNA from 1 species